UGCGUCAGCAACGGCCCGAAGGGCGAGCCACGUAGUGGCGAGUUAUCCUCUAUCACCGACCA
rnacentral:sRNA from 1 species